AGCGGCAGGUGGCGCGGGGGCCCAGUCUGCCUUAGGCCACGUGUUGGGAGGCAGAUCUCGCCACACCCGCGUUUCCUCGAUUGUAAACAGGGUUCUGUUGGGGAUGUUUGCUGCUGCGUGGGUCCGCUGACAGGAUUAAGAGUCCGGGGCCCGUAAGCCGCUUAUCGCCAGGCCCGCAGUGGCCGGGCUAGAAUGGGAGGCGGGCCCCGAGGGCCAGGAGACAGCGGAGAUCACCGACUUCCAGAGGGCCUCCCCGAAUUCCUGAAGACGCUGCUGGGAGGGGACUGAAGCUUCCCCGCCUUGAUGGGGAGGGGUCGUCAGGAGGGGUUUAUCUGGAUUUCCAGACUGUGUUCUCCCCCAGAGCCUAGUCUGGACCCCAUGGCUCUAGGGACCGGGAGAAGCUGACGGUGGGGGAGGAGCUGGGAGAAGGGGCGCGUUUGCCGUUAGGGGCGGAGCUAGAACCUGGGAGCCUGAGGUGAUGCUGGGGACACCUGAAAGGUCGGCUGUGUGCUGGAGGUGGGCGGUUCCCGUGGGGGCGGGGCUAGGCUGCCUGGGCGGGGCCGAAAUCCGGGCAGGCGGAGUUAGAGCAGGGGGCGGGGUCAGCGCGCGGAGCUGGGGCUCCUGCCACGGGUAUGCGGCGGAGCCGCUAGUGGGAGCGCGGGCAGCGUGCCGCGUGGGAGCCCGCGGAGGAGGAAAGCGGGGACUCCUGACUAGAGUGUGGGAGGCAGAGGGCGGAGCGGGCGGGGCUCGAGCGCUGGAGUAGACGGUCCGACAGGCAGAGAGAACUGAGCCUGGCUGCGGCGGAGGGCGGGGAUCGCCAGUCCUCGAGAGCUCUGUGCUCCACACCGCGGAUGCGCCGGGGAUCCUUCCUAAUGACAUCGCCUAGCGUCUCCGGAGUCGUCAUCCUGAGGAAUGGGGACCCAGGGGGUGCCGGCUCGGGGCCUUGCUUCUUGCAGCUCCUCUGUGGUCAGGCUGGAUCCUCCACCAUCAGGGAGACCCCAUCCUGACCUUUGUCACCUGCCCCUCCCACUGUGGGAUGCUGAGCACAGAACCCACAGCCCAUCUGCCUCCUCACCUCCCUGAAUCCGUGUCUAUCUGCAAUAAACCACAGCCCCGGCUGCCUCGUGCUGUG